rnacentral:rRNA from 1 species
GACGAACGCUGGCGGCGUGCUUAACACAUGCAAGUCGAACGAUGACGACCGAGCUUGCUCGGUCUGAUUAGUGGCGAACGGGUGAGUAACACGUGAGCAACCUGCCCUUCACUCUGGGAUAACCUCGGGAAAUCGGGGCUAAUACCGGAUAUGAGCUCCUGUCGCAUGGCGGGUGUUGGAAAGUUUUUCGGUGAAGGAUGGGCUCGCGGCCUAUCAGUUUGUUGGUGAGGUAGUGGAUCACCAAGGCGAUGACGGGUAGCCGGCCUGAGAGGGCGACCGGCCACACUGGGACUGAGACACGGCCCAGACUCCUACGGGAGGCGGCAGUGGGGAAUAUUGCACAAUGGGCGAAAGCCUGAUGCAGCGACGCCGCGUGAGGGAUGACGGCCUUCGGGUUGUAAACCUCUUUCAGCAGGGAAGAAGCGAAAGUGACGGUACCUGCAGAAGAAGCGCCGGCUAACUACGUG